rnacentral:rRNA from 1 species
UACGUAGGUGACAAGCGUUGUCCGGAUUUACUGGGCGUAAAGAGCGCGCAGGCGGUCGUUCAAGUCGAGUGUGAAAGCCCCGGCUCAACUGGGGAGGGUCAUUCGAUACUGAUCGACUCGAAGGCAGGAGAGGGUAGUGGAAUUCCCGGUGUAGUGGUGAAAUGCGUAGAUAUCGGGAGGAAGACCAGUGGCGAAGGCGAGUCUCUGGACAGUUACUGACACUGAGGCACGAAGGCCAGGGGAGCAAACGGGG